AGUCCCGUGGUGAAUUUCACAUU
rnacentral:tRNA from 1 species